rnacentral:rRNA from 1 species
AUAUAAAUGAUACUUAUUUUCUUGUUAUAGGCUAUGCUUAGAGCAAGUAAUAUAAGUAUGUAAAGGAAUUAUUACGCAAUUCUAGCUAUGUAUUAAGGAGAGCAAAUUUGAUAUAAAAAGGAAUAUAUAAUAUUUCUAGUUAAUAAGCUCUAGAAGAAAUUUAAUAAUAAACGAAGUGAAGUGAAAUAUCUCAGUAACUUCAGGAAAAGAAAUCAAAAGAGAUUCUAUGAAUAGCGUGAGCGAAAGUAGAUUAGUCUAUUAAGUAAAAUGGUUUAUAAACUGUUUGAAUGGGGAACCUUCCUCAAAGACUAAAUAUGAUACAUAAGCGAUAGAUAAUGGGCCGUGAGGUAAAUGGAAGUUAGUAGUAAUUUUAUAAGCAGUUCGAAUAGACUUAGUUUAAGCUAAAGAACGUACCUUUUGCAUAAUGGGUCACCAAGUUAACAUUAGAUGCGAGGAAAUUUCGUAGUUAAACCAAACGUUAAAAUAACGAUAAGUGUCUAAAGUUAGACCCGAAGCCUAGUGAUUUUACCAUGAUCAGGACUAUAAAGGUCCGAACGGGUGAUUGUUGCAAAAAUCUCCGAAGAAUCGUGGUAGGUAUAGUGAAAGACAAUACUGACUAGGAUAGCUGGUUUUCUGCGAAACCUAUAACAGUAGGCAAUUUAAGUAAAUAUCUUAGCAGGUACAGAAUUUAAUCUCAGGCAAUAUUUUAUUGCGCAAAUUGGGGAAUCGUGAAGAUUUUAUCAGUGAGUAUGUAGACUCGGAAUGGCAAAGAUAUAUCUUGAAUGAUCAGACAUAGAAUGAUAAGGUUGUAUGUCAAAAGGGAAACAGCCCAGAACAAGAGUUAAGGUUCCUAAAUUAUUUGUUAAGUGAAAUUAAGAAGGUUUUUAUUAAAGUCGACAAGGAGAUAGGCUUAGAAGCAGCCAUAAUUUUAUGACCUCGUAACAGAGCGCUUGUUAAGUUAUAAAAGCAUCGAAAAUAUAACGGAUCUAAACAAUAUACCGAAACCUUGUCCAUAAAUUAUUAAUGCGCAAGCUACAUAUUUAAUAUUUAUGGGGUAGCAGAACGUUGAAUUAGGCUAAAUAACAAGUUUAUAAAUUUGUUAUGUUAAUUCAAGUGAGAAUGGUGACAUGAGUAACGAAAAGAAUAGUAGAUUUUGUCGAUAAUUCUAGCUUGCUAGAAUUAGGUACAUACAUUAAAUAAUAGAUCUUAUUUAGUGCUUACAAGAUCUGCUAUCCGCCUAAAGCUUAUGGUUAGAAUUAAGUAACGGCCUCUAAGCUUUUUAUCUAAAGAUUGAAGCGAUGAGAAAAUCUUUUAUUAUGAAAUAGACGACAUUUAUCUAGUGAAAAAUGUACAGGAAAAAUCAUAAUAUAGUAACCGUACCUAGAAACCGACUAUGGUAAGCUAGUAGAGUAUACGAAGGCGUAAUUGAGAUAACAAUCAUAAAGGAACUCGGCAAAUUGACUAUCGUAACUUCGGGAUAAGUAGGGCUCAUUAUUCUUGAUUAAUAUCAGGUAAAGAGGAAGAAACAUAAAAUAAUGUUGUACGACUGUUUAAUUAAAACACAGCACUUUGCUUAAAGAUUAAAAAUCUAUGUAUAAAGUGUGAUAUCUGCCCGGUGCCGGCUGGCUAACAGAGAUAAUUGAAUAUAUUACUAUUUGAUGUCGACGGAAGCCCCGGUUAAAGGCGGCCUUAACGUGAGGGUCCUAAGGUAGCGAAAUGCCUUGGCCGUUAAAUGCGGUCUUGCAUGAAUGGUGUAACGAUACAACAGCUGUCUCUAUGAUUGACUCAGUGAAAUUGGAAUAGCUGUGCAGAUACAGCUUACCUCUAGUUAGACGAGAAGACCCUAUGCAGCUUUACUGUCACUAAUUAUAGAUUUUGAUGAACAAUUUUCAGACUAAAAGGGAAUUGAUUAAAUAUUCAUGAGAAACCUUUAUUUUUUUCUUCAUUUGAAUGAAUUGAUAUACCUACUAACGUUAGUAUAUCAUCCUAGUUCAGCCUAGUUUCUUAGUGAACUAAGAAAUAGGUACCCUUGGAAAGGAACUAUUGCUAGGGGACAGUUUAUGUGGGGCACAGACCCUGUAAAGAGUAAACAGGUGUGUCUAAUAAUUAUUUUUAUUUUGUUUGCUAUUUUUAAAUAAAUCGUAUUCACUUUGAUAUAGUUGUAAGGUAUAGUUGCUAUACGAUUAUAUUUAUAUCGAAAAUUUAGGUAAGAUUUUGACUAUACUGAAAUUAGAGAUAAUUUAAAGUUUUAUGUAUAUUAUUACUAAAAUUUUAUAGUUAUUCAAGCUCGAAUAAUUAUGUUUUUAAUAUCUAAAAAGCUCAACGGCUUAAUCUUGCCUUACUGUUUGAUUAUCGACAAAUCUUACAGUUGCGUAAGCAGGGCAUAGGAUCACAAGAUGCAAUAAGGAAAGAUCUUGGAUUAUUGGAAAAGCUACGCUAGGGAUAACAGGCUAAUUUGCGCAAGAGUGUACAAAAUGAGUGCGCGGUUUGGCACCUCGAUGUCGGCUUAACUUAUCCUCAUGGAUGCAGAAACUAUGUAGGGUGCGACUGUUCGUCGAUUAAAAAGUUACAUGAGCUGGGUUAAAUACGUCGUGAGACAGUAUGGUUUCUAUCUUCUAGAGGGAAUUAGAAUAAAAUAAGAACGAACUUUUGUACGAAAGGAACAAGAAUGAUUUUUUUAAAUUAUAGUUACUAACCUAUGGUUUACCUGUUGUCUAUAUGCCCUGUUAUUAAAUAUAUAGAUUGUAUUAAUAUUAAUAUAUUAAUAAAUUAGUAUUUAGUUAUAAAUAUUUAUAUUUAGAUCAAUACGAUACUAAUUCAGUUAUGCGCAAGCUACUGCUAUCUAUAUAGAUGUAUAUAUUAUUAAUAUAUACAGAGGAUGUAUCGUUCACUAGGAUAAUAUAUUAUAUAGGCACGGCAGGAAAGCUAAGUUGGUUAAGGAUA